GAUUUCUGGCUUAAUAAAGCUGACCGGCUCUCGUAAGAGAGUCUGUGUUGGAUUUUAUUUGCCAUCCUUCUAGAGAACGUUCCUACCCUUUACUGGGCCGGGUUCGCAAUCUAGAACUUUUACUUUGAAAAAAUUAGAGUGUUCAAAGCAGGCUUGCGCUACUGAAUACAUUAGCAUGGAAUAAUAAUUUAGGACUUUGGUUCUAUUUUGUUGGUUUCUAGGACUGAAGUAAUGAUUGAUAGGGACAGUUGGGGGUGCUAGUAUUUACCGGCCAGAGGUGAAAUUCUUGGAUUCGGUAAAGACUAACUUAUGCGAAAGCAUU
rnacentral:rRNA from 1 species